AAAUUAGGAUUUCCUCCACCCCCUCUGCUGUCUUGAUGCUCGCCGGGCUGAGACGGAGGCGCUGAGGAGAAUUGGAAACACCAAGUGAUUUGGCCCUGAGGUGAAUUUUUUUUUUUUUUAAAUGGAGAAGUUGGUGGCUGUGGUAGCGGCUGAAAGGAGGAGAGGAAACAGCUGAGGGGGAAAAAAAAGGUUGACUGGAGAUCUGAAAACAGAAAGAUUUCUGCCAUUUACUCACAGAGAGGCAGUGAGAGUAGAAUCAGCAUCCAGUACAAAGGUAAAAGAAGCUUGUUUGCUAUGUGUUCUGGACUCAUAGAUUUAGCGGAAUUCCCCAAAUUGUGCUUUACAAGCACAAUGAUCACUGGCACACAUAGCAAGAAAAGUGAAAUUCUUCAAUAAGGUAAUCUUUUGAUUAUGGAUUCAGUUUUACCUAUGCUGAGCAAUUUUUUUUGAAAUUAGUUUACUUAAAAUUUUUUUUGAUAUCUUUUGGUUUCAUAUCAUCUCCAUUGCCAAAUGUAUACUUCCCCAGAAAACCAUUCCUUUUAACAAUAAAUUUUAAAAAAAGAAAAAGAAAAAAACACUUCAACAAUACUGACCAGCACACCAUUCAAGUCAAAUAUAUGUACAGACAAUCCUCAACUUUUCACAGGGGUAGUAUCCUAGAAAAUAGCAGAAAAGUCAAAAUUGCUAAUGUUUAUACAUAGAACCUAUGACAAAUAAGGGGGUAGGUUCUCAUGACCACCAAAAAUAAUGUUUUACUAGAGAUUGCUGAAAUAUACUUUUCUGCCUAUAAUUCUUUAUAACAAAACAUUCCAAUAAUAUAUACUUUUCCUAACACAAUAAUCAUGAAAUAACCCAUAAAAUGCAGUACACAAAAUAAAAUUGAUGACAUGUAAAACAUCUUUUCUUGCUAUUAAUUCCUUAG